rnacentral:rRNA from 1 species
UAGGGAAUCUUCUACAAUGGACGCAAGUCUGAUGGAGCAACGCCGCGUGAGUGAAGAAGGUCUUCGGAUCGUAAAGCUCUGUUGUUGGUGAAGAAGGAUAGAGGCAGUAACUGGUCUUUAUUUGACGGUAAUCAACCAGAAAGUCACGGCUAACUACGUGCCAGCAGCCGCGGUAAUACGUAGGUGGCAAGCGUUGUCCGGAUUUAUUGGGCGUAAAGCGAGCGCAGGCGGAAUGAUAAGUCUGAUGUGAAAGCCCACGGCUCAACCGUGGAACUGCAUCGGAAACUGUCAUUCUUGAGUGCAGAAGAGGAGAGUGGAACUCCAUGUGUAGCGGUGGAAUGCGUAGAUAUAUGGAAGAACACCAGUGGCGAAGGCGGCUCUCUGGUCUGCAACUGACGCUGAGGCUCGAAAGCAUGGGUAGCGAACAGGAUUAGAUACCCUGGUAGUCCAUGCCGUAAACGAUGAGCGCUAGGUGUUGGGGCACUUUCC